rnacentral:miRNA from 2 species
AGGUUGGGAUUGGUAGCAAUGCU